rnacentral:rRNA from 1 species
GACGAACGCUGGCGGCGUGCCUAAUACAUGCAAGUUGAGCGCUGAAGGUUGGUACUUGUACCAACUGGAUGAGCAGCGAACGGGUGAGUAACGCGUGGGGAAUCUGCCUUUGAGCGGGGGACAACAUUUGGAAACGAAUGCUAAUACCGCAUAAAAACUUUAAACACAAGUUUUAAGUUUGAAAGAUGCAAUUGCAUCACUCAAAGAUGAUCCCGCGUUGUAUUAGCUAGUUGGUGAGGUAAAGGCUCACCAAGGCGAUGAUACAUAGCCGACCUGAGAGGUGGAUCGCCAACAUUGGAACGGAGAAACGGCCAAAACUCCUAGGGAGGCAGCAGUAGGGAAUCUUCGGCAAUGGACGAAAGUCUGACCGAGCAACGCCGCGUGAGUGAAGAAGGGUUUCGGAUCGUAAAACUCUGUUGGUAGAGAAGAACGUUGGUGAGAGUGGAAAGCUCAUCAAGUGACGGUAACUACCCAGAAAGGGACGGCUAACUACGUG